GCGGCCUGGAGGCGGUCGACUCCUUCACGGCC
rnacentral:scRNA from 1 species